CAGUCGCCGCGGGAAUACGAAGGGGGCUAGCGUUGUUCGGAAUUACUGGGCGUAAGGCGCACGUAGGCGGAUAUUUAAGUCAGGGGUGAAAUCCCGCAGCUCAACUGCAGAACUGCCUUUGAUACUGGGUAUCUUGAGUAUGGAAGAGGUUAGUGGAAUUGCGAGUGUAGAGGUGAAAUUCGUAGAUAUUCGCAGGAACACCAGUGGCGAAGGCGGCUAACUGGUCCAUAACUGACGCUGAGGUGCGAAAGCGUGGGGAGCAAACAGGAUUAGAUACCCCCGUAGUCCCUGUCUCUUAUAC
rnacentral:rRNA from 1 species